CAGUCGCCGCGGGAAUGCGAAGGGGGCUAGCGUUGUUCGGAAUUACUGGGCGUAAAGGGCGCGUAGGCGGCCAUUCAAGUUAGAUGUGAAAGCCCUGGGCUCAACCUAGGAAUUGCAUUUGAUACUGUUUGGCUUGAGUUCGGGAGAGGUGAGUGGAAUUCCCAGUGUAGAGGUGAAAUUCGUAGAUAUUGGGAAGAACACCAGUGGCGAAGGCGGCUCACUGGACCGACACUGACGCUGAGGCGCGAAAGCGUGGGGAGCAAACAGGAUUAGAUACCCGGGUAGUCCCUGUCUCUUAUAC
rnacentral:rRNA from 1 species